ACGCCUGCCCAGUGACUAUUUGUUCAACGGCCGCGGUAUCCUGACCGUGCAAAGGUAGCGUAAUCACUUGUCUUUUAAAUAGAGACUAGUAUGAACGGCAUCACGAGAACUAAUCUGUCUCCCUCCCCCAAUCAGUGAAACUGAUCUCCCCGUGCAGAAGCGGGGAUAAUAUCAUAAGACGAGAAGACCCUGUGGAGCUUCAAAUCAAAAAUCAACUGCUUCACCUACACUUACCCGAGGUAACAUUUUUCCACAGACCUGAUUUAGAUUUUCAGCUGGGGCGCCUGUGAAGAAUAAAAAACCCUUCACGUAGAUUUAUGCUCAAAGCUACCGCCAAAGGCAUUAAUAAACUUAACUUUAAUUGACCCUUUUUGAUCAACGGACCAAGUUACCCCAGGGAUAACAGCGCAAUCCACUUUCAGAGUCCAUAUCGACAAGUGGGCUUACGACCUCGAUGUUGGAUCAGGGCAUCCGAGUGGUGCAGCCGCUACUAAAGGUUCGUUUGUUCAACGAUUAAAGCCCU
rnacentral:rRNA from 1 species